CUGCUGCCUUCCGUAGGAGUUUGGGCCGUGUCUCAGUCCCAAUGUGGCCGGUCACCCUCUCAGGUCGGCUACUGAUCGUCGCCUUGGUGGGCUGUUAUCUCACCAACUAGCUAAUCAGAUGCGGGCCCAUCCUGCACCGAAUAAAUCCUUUCUUUCCCAGAAGAUGCCUCCCAGGAACCGUAUGCGGUAUUAGUCAUCGUUUCCAAUGAUUAUUCCCCAGUGCAGGGCAGGUUGCCCACACGUUACUCACCCCG
rnacentral:rRNA from 1 species